AACGAACGCUGGCGGCGUGGAUAAGACAUGCAAGUCGAACGGGACAACAUUUGUAGCAAUACAGAUGUUGUUUAGUGGCGAACGGGUGCGUAACACGUGGGGAAUCUGCCGAGAAGUGGGGGAUAGCUCGCCGAAAGGCGAAUUAAUACCGCAUAUGAUCAGGGAAGACAUCUUUCCGACAUCAAAGCCGGGGCAACCUGGCGCUUCUUGAUGACCCCGCGGCCUAUCAGCUAGUUGGUGAGGUAACGGCUCACCAAGGCUUUGACGGGUAGCUGGUCUGAGAGGACGACCAGUCACACUGGAACUGAGACACGGUCCAGACACCUACGGGUGGCAGCAGUCGAGAAUUUUUCUCAAUGGGGCAACCCUGAAGGAGCGACGCCGCGUGGAGGAUGAAGGCUUUUCGGGUGUAAACUCCUGUCAUUUGAGAACAAGUGUAGCUAAGUAACUACUGGCUACUUGAUAGUAUCAGAAGAGGAAGAGAC
rnacentral:rRNA from 1 species